rnacentral:rRNA from 1 species
AAUAGAUACCCGGGUAGUCCACGCCGUAAACGAUGUCGACUUGGAGGUUGUGCCCUUGAGGCGUGGCUUCCGGAGCUAACGCGUUAAGUCGACCGCCUGGGGAGUACGGCCGCAAGGUUAAAACUCAAAUGAAUUGACGGGGGCCCGCACAAGCGGUGGAGCAUGUGGUUUAAUUCGAUGCAACGCGAAGAACCUUACCUACUCUUGACAUCCAGAGAACUUGCCAGAGAUGGCUUGGUGCCUUCGGGAACUCUGAGACAGGUGCUGCAUGGCUGUCGUCAGCUCGUGUUGUGAAAUGUUGGGUUAAGUCCCGCAACGAGCGCAACCCUUAUCCUUUGUUGCCAGCGGUUAGGCCGGGAACUCAAAGGAGACUGCCAGUGAUAAACUGGAGGAAGGUGGGGAUGACGUCAAGUCAUCAUGGCCCUUACGAGUAGGGCUACACACGUGCUACAAUGGCGCAUACAAAGAGAAGCGACCUCGCGAGAGCAAGCGGACCUCAUAAAGUGCGUCGUAGUCCGGA